rnacentral:tRNA from 1 species
GGGCCCGUAGCUCAAUCGGCAGAGCAGGGGACUUUUAAUCCCAAGGCCAGAGUUCGAUUCUCUGCGGGCCCA